rnacentral:rRNA from 1 species
AUUGAACGCUGGCGGCAGGCCUAACACAUGCAAGUCGAACGAGUGGCGGACGGGUGAGUAAUGUCUGGGAAACUGCCUGAUGGAGGGGGAUAACUACUGGAAACGGUAGCUAAUACCGCAUCCCAUCAGAUGUGCCCAGAUGGGAUUAGCUAGUUGGUGGGGUAACGGCUCACCAGGGCGACGAUCCCUAGCUGGCCUGAGAGGUUGACCGGCCACACUGGAACGGAGACACGGUCCAGAUUCCUACGGCGGGCAGCAGUGGGGAAUAUUGCACAAGGGGCGCAAGCCUGGUGCAGCCGUGCCGCGUGUAUGAAGAAGGCCUUCGGGUUGUAAAGUACUUUCAGCGGGGAGGCGUUACCCGAAGAGGAAGCACCGGCUAACUCCGUGCCAGCAGCCGCGGUAAUUC